CUACGGGUUGCUGCAGUGAGGAAUAUUGCACAAUGGGGGAACCCUGAUGCAGCAACGCCGCGUGGAGGAUGACGCAUUUCGGUGUGUAAACUCCUUUUAUAUGUCAAGAAAAUGACGGUAGCAUAUGAAUAAGCACCGGCUAACUCCGUGCCAGCAGCCGCGGUAAUACGGAGCGUGCAAGCGUUACUCGGAAUCACUGGGCGUAAAGGACGCGUAGGCGGGUUGGAAAGUCAGGUGUGAAAUCCUACAGCUUAACUGUAGAACUGCACUUGAAACUUCUAAUCUAGAGUAUGGGAGGGGGAGAUGGAAUUAGUGGUGUAGGGGUAAAAUCCGUAGAUAUCACUAGGAAUACCUAAAGCGAAGGCGAUCUCCUGGAACAUUACUGACGCUAAGGCGUGAAAGCGUGGGGAGCAAACAGGAUUAGAUACCCGGGUAGUC
rnacentral:rRNA from 1 species